AGCAGCCGCGGUAAUUCCAGCUCCAAUAGCGUAUAUUAAAGUUGUUGCAGUUAAAAAGCUCGUAGUUGAAUUUCGGGAUUAGUACGCUGGUCGUGCCUUAGGUAUGCACUGGUGUUACUGGUUCCUACCUUCUGACGAACCGUCAUGUCAUUAAUUUGGUGUGGCGGGGAAUCAGGACUGUUACUUUGAAAAAUUAGAGUGUUUAAAGCAGGCUCGCGCUUGAAUACAUUAGCAUGGAAUAAUGAAAUAGGACGUUCGAUCCUAUUUUGUUGGUUUCUAGGAUUGACGUAAUGAUUAAUAGGGAUAGUUGGGGGCAUUAGUAUUCAAUUGUCAGAGGUGAAAAUUCUUGGAUUUAUUGAAAGACUAACUACUGCGAAAAGCAUUUGCCAAGGAUGUUU
rnacentral:rRNA from 1 species